rnacentral:rRNA from 1 species
CCAUGGCGGCCGCGGGAAUUCGAUUAGAGUUUGAUCAUGGCUCAGAACGAACGCUGGCGGCAGGCUUAACACAUGCAAGUCGAACGCCCCGCAAGGGGAGUGGCAGACGGGUGAGUAACACGUGGGAACGUGCCCAAAGGUACGGAACAACUCCGGGAAACUGGAGCUAAUACCGUAUGUGCCCGAAAGGGGAAAGAUUCAUCGCCUUUGGAUCGGCCCGCGUCUGAUUAGCUAGUUGGCGGGGUAAUGGCCCACCAAGGCGACGAUCAGUAGCUGGUCUGAGAGGAUGACCAGCCACACUGGGACUGAGACACGGCCCAGACUCCUACGGGAGGCAGCAGUGGGGAAUAUUGGACAAUGGGCGCAAGCCUGAUCCAGCCAUGCCGCGUGAGUGAUGAAGGCCUUAGGGUUGUAAAGCUCUUUCGCCAGGGACGAUAAUGACGGUACCUGGAUAAGAAGCCCCGGCUAACUUCGUGCCAGCAGCCGCGGUAAUACGAAUCACUAGUGAAUUCGCGGCCGCCUGCAGGUCGACCAUAUGGGAGAGCUCCC